UCCAGCUGUGGCAUGUCUCAUGGUCCUGGC
rnacentral:piRNA from 1 species